CUUUUUGUAUUUCAUGUAUUUUACAUGAAUCCAUCUAAUUUUCAUUCUUUAUUUUUUAUAUGGCACAGGGAAAAAUGUACUUUGCAAAAAGUAAACUGUUUAAGUUUGAGUGACGUCACUUAGUGGCGCUGUCGCGUCUGACUCUCUCAGUUCUACAUGUGACUGAAGAGAGUAAGUUGUGUUUCUUUGCAUCUCUGCAUGUCGAUUUAUAAAAACGAUAAAAUGGUUAAAAAUAUAAGUGUAAAAAGUGUUAAAAAGAUGGAUUGAGUGAAGAUGUUUGACUUUCUAUGAAAAGUGAGAUACAUUUAUCAAGUUUAAGAGACAAACGGUUUUAAUGUGUUUGUUUAGUGUUGCCGUCCGCGUGCUAAUUGAAAGUGCGGGGUUUUUUUCUUUUAAUAUAAUUUUAAAAUACAAAAUUUUGGUGAAUCGAGUCUGUAUAAAUGUUAUGUUGCCUAUUUGAUUUUAGUUUAAUGUGUGAUUUUUAUUUAAGUCAUAAAAUGUGUAUAUAUUUAACCAAAUGAGACCCUGAAUUUGCAGUCAUUGUGUUAAUGGAGGACAGGGAUUAAUCUAUUUGUCUCACAUCACUCAGAGAGAACUGUUGGUGAGAGGAUGUGUGUUUGAUGAUCCUGUGUCUUUUAUUAUUAAACUGCAGAUAUGUUAACAACAAAUCACUAUACGAUCACAUAACUGGUUAAAUAUUGUCUUUUAUUGAGUAUUAUAAUGAAGAUGUCUCAUGUUAAGUGUAGUGUUAAUGUAAAUGAGUGUGUAUAUGUUAAAUUCAUUUUUUUGUUGUAUAAUUUUUGUUUAUGUAUAUUUGUGUAAGAGAUGAAUAACUUACAUGUUAUUCAUAACAAGCAGUUCUACAUGUGACUGAAGAGAAGAGAACUGUUGGUGAGAGGAUGUGUGUUUGAUGAUCCUGUGUCUUUUAUUAUUAAACUGCAGAACCUGAUUCACCAAAGUGCUCGGAGUUGGUGUGUCAUUUGUGGUGCUGAAGGAAAUCCGCUUCAAAAUGUUUGCCUAAUUAAUAUCGGGAUGUUUUCAAAUAAAUAAAUGUUCAUUUCUAAUUCAUUCAACAGGACCUUCAUACUGCUUCUGUGAACAUUUAUUUUUAUGCAUAUUCUGCAGUAUUAUGACAUGAAACUGAACUGAAUGCAUUUAUUAAAGAAUUAUUACCACAAAAAGUAACUUUUUGAAUUGACAGCCUAUGUGAGCCAUGUCAAAUAAGUUUCAGAUGGCCUGUUUAUGUAUUCUAUCACGUCAUGUUUAUUAUACACAUAUAAUAUUUGUUAGUUGAAAGAAGAGGGUUCACAAUAGAAUGUUUCAAUAUUUGAAGCCUUAUAUUUGUUAUGUACCCAUCCACACACACACACACAUGCAUACACAAAUAUAAAAAUGUUCUCCCAUGACUACAUCAUAAUGGACCAUUAGCACCUGUGAAUUGUGCUGUUGGAUGAUGUGUCCUGAUUGGUGGUUGACCUGGGUCAGGUCAGGUUAAGAAACCUGUUUGGCCUGAAAGCCUUACAGUUGUUUUUGAGUAUCUUCUGAAGAUCAUCACUGUUUCUGUUUGUGACCUGCUACUUGAAGUUGUCUCCAUUUGAAAUAGCUUCUAGAAAGUAAGUACAUUUUGUCUGUCUGACUUAUGCCUUGUUAAAAGAGAUGGUAAGAUGCCUGUGUAAGGAGAGCAUGUUUUUUGUGUUAUUGUUAUACCAUGAAAUAAGGUUACUUUGCCAUGUUCAUUCAUUCUCAUUCAUUAUGAGAUCUUCAUGUUGAUUUUAGAGAGAACUAUGUAGGAGAAUGUUCUCUUUAGAUACUUUGAGUUAAUAAAAGUUCAUCUGGUGUCAAGAUUGCUAUAGUAACCAAGUGCCUGGGUUGGUCACUGACAUUUUUUCUUCUAAAGAGGGAAUGAGUGGGUCUGUAAUUAUUUGAUAGAUCUAAUGAACAAUUGUGUAUCAGAUUAGUUAAAAAAACAUUUUUUUCUAUAUUUUUAUACAGUUUUAUUGAAAUUGUCUUAAUACAUGCAGAUACACUAGAGCUAGUCAAUUUGUACAGUGAAAUCUUUAUGCAAAUUGUACAGUUCUAUGGCUUCAAACCAACAUCUUCCUAUGUUUUCUAGAUAAUUCAAGAUGAUUACUUGUCCAAUCUGCCACAGCGACUAUUCAAACCUCCGGCAGCACCUGUGAACUUUUCAUUUUGUAUUCAAUUUGAAGGAACGUGCCAUUUUGUUAAAACUGUCCCAUUCCAGGCUUCCUCUAAAAAAUGAGGUGUGCCCAAUAUGUUCCAAGAAGUGCAUCCAUACUGCCCGGCAUGAUAGAGGCCCUCAACACCCUGAGCUGGAGGGUGGCAGUGCAGGAGCUGAAGGCCCUGCACCGUACAAACCCUGAGGUCCCUCUGGCUACACAGUUAGAUGAGGAGGAGGAGGAGCCUGUAGCCCAACCGUCUGCAACAGAUGCUGAAGCCCCACCCUCUGGAGCAGAAGGCCCUCGUCCGGAUGGACCAGAGCCCUAACCAGAACCGCCGGAGGCCCCUGUGGGACUUUUUCAGUUCUGGCCCACACCCACUCAGGUCUGGGGCCAACCUUGAUUGUUGGUGGAGCCUUACCCACCCCAAGCGAUGUGGACUGAACAAUUUCAAAUGUGUACCGCGCCAUCAGGGCAACAUCCAACCCAGCGAGGGGUGGCUGCACCAACACAGGAGGUGGGGGACGCUCUCUCUCAGGUGUUGGGCACCGCACUACAGGAGGUGUGGUCCCAACCAGCUGAGGAGUCUGCCCCACUGGCUUCAUCCAGUGCAGCAUCUGAAACACCUGAACAGAACGGAGAAAUGGAGGAGUUGAUUAACGAUCUCGGAUUUCUGGAUGCUUAUCCCACAGAGGACUUGCAGACUAACAAUUUUAAUAGCAUUUGAAGAGAAUUAUUUUAAUUUCUAAAAAAGGUUAUUGUUUUACUUGUUUUGAUAGCCUGUUUCAUUUUUAUUAUAUUAUAUAUUUUUUGUAAAUAGUUAUUACAAUUUUCAAAAAGUUUUGAUUUUGUAUUUUAAAAUGUUCUCUUCUAAAGUCUGAUCUUAAAACUUAUUUGUUUUCUCUGGCAUUUAAUUAAUGUCACUUUAAGGUUUUGAUGUCAGUUUGUUCUGAGUCUGUUUCAUUGUUUAUUUAUGUUUUUAUAUUUUACUUUUUUUCAUAUAAUGCAUGCUUCCUAUUGUGCUUUUUACAUAUUGUGCUUUGUUGUACAGCACUUCAACGCAACUCUCUUGCUUUUAAAAGUGCUAUCAAAAUAUAUUUUGACUUUGACUUUAAAAUGGAAAAAAAUUCAAUA